ACUANGUCGCAACCCUCUCGAUUUCCCUAUCAUCAGAACCCCUUGAUGACACUGAGAGCGAAGCUCGUCAAUACGAUGCUGAGCGCUCUGAAUUUGGCGGCUUCGGUUGCGCCACCAGAAAGGUGUUCUCUGUUAUUUUUUCCUUACCUUCCAAUUUUCAGAUAUAUUUUAGGGUUCAAAUGAGUUAAAGUUGAUUACUUGCUUGCGCAGGUGCAAAUUCUUCUUCUUAUUCUUCUCCAUUUUUCUAUUCAUCAGAUAUAUAGUUAGGUUUAUAGCUCUAUUGAUUGAUUUGUGUUCUGUGAUAGGUGAGUAGAAUCAUAGAUUUGAGCUGCAUUAAUUUGGGUCCGAGCUAAAAUCUGAAUCUUGUUGUAGGACCUGCGAGGUCAUGUUCUUUGUCUGUUCGUUGCAAGGAUACUCAUGGUCACCAUGCUCAAGCACACUCUUAGACAGAGCUCAUGAUAUACAACUUUAUUUCAGAGUGGAAGGUACUUGAAGAAAUGAGUUGCUCUGGGAACAUUAGUGGGAACUACUUAGGCUUCAAUGAUGGGAUACCAAGCAAUUGAGAAUGUGCUACAAACCAUUUAUUAUGUAGCUGUUCAUCUAUUUUUUUUUUUCUAAUUAUGUUUUUUUGAGGAGGAUGAAGAUUCUUAUUUCUAAUUAUGAUUUUUAAUUUUAUUUUGUAAUACAGUUUUUUUAUAAUCAUGGUUUAUAAUAAUAAA